GCGCGUGUGUCUCUCUCUCUCUCUCUCUCUCUCUCUCUCUCUCUCUCUCUCUCUCUCUCUCGUGUGUGUGUGUGUGUGUGUGUGUGUGUGUGUGACAGAGAGAGAGAGAGAGAGAGAGAGAGAGAGAGAGAAAGGAGGAGGAGUUG
rnacentral:miRNA from 1 species